CUUUAGGGGUCUAAUAGCCCCAAAGACCUCAGAUGCUAUCUGAUCCUGGAAGCUAAGCAGGGUCAGUCCUGGUUAGUCCUUAGAUGGGAGACCAUCAAUGAAUUCUAGGUGCCAUAUGAU
rnacentral:rRNA from 11 species